GACGAACGCUGGCGGCGUGCCUAAUACAUGCAAGUAGGACGCACAGUCUAUACCGUAGCUUGCUACACCAUAGGCUGUGAGUUGCGAACGGGUGAGUAACGCGUAGGUAACCUGCCUAUUAGAGGGGGAUAACUAUUGGAAACGAUAGCUAAUACCGCAUAACAGUAUGUAACACAUGUUAGAUGCUUGAAAGAUGCAAUUGCAUCGCUAGUAGAUGGACCUGCGUUGUAUUAGCUAGUAGGUAGGGUAAUGGCCUACCUAGGCGACGAUACAUAGCCGACCUGAGAGGGUGAUCGGCCACACUGGGACUGAGACACGGCCCAGACUCCUACGGGAGGCAGCAGUAGGGAAUCUUCGGCAAUGGGGGGAACCCUGACCGAGCAACGCCGCGUGAGUGAAGAAGGUUUUCGGAUCGUAAAGCUCUGUUGUUAAGGAAGAACGAGUGUGAGAAUGGAAAGUUCAUACUGUGACGGUACUUAACCAGAAAGGGACGGCUAACUACGUGCCAGCAGCCGCGGUAAUACGUAGGUCCCGAGCGUUGUCCGGAUUUAUUGGGCGUAAAGCGAGCGCAGGCGGUUUGAUAAGUCUGAAGUUAAAGGCUGUGGCUCAACCAUAGUUCGCUUUGGAAACUGUCAAACUUGAGUGCAGAAGGGGAGAGUGGAAUUCCAUGUGUAGCGGUGAAAUGCGUAGAUAUAUGGAGGAACACCGGUGGCGAAAGCGGCUCUCUGGUCUGUAACUGACGCUGAGGCUCGAAAGCGUGGGGAGCGAACAGG
rnacentral:rRNA from 1 species